rnacentral:tRNA from 1 species
GACGGUGUGGUUCAACGGCAGAGCGGCAGAGAUGCAGGCGCAGGUUCGACUCCUGCCACCGUCA